UACGGGGGGAGCAAGCGUUGUUCGGAUUUACUGGGCGUAAAGGGCGCGUAGGCGGCCAGCACAAGUCAGUUGUGAAAUCUCCGAGCUUAACUCGGAAAGGUCAACUGAUACUGUGCGGCUAGAGUGCAGAAGGGGCAACUGGAAUUCUUGGUGUAGCGGUGAAAUGCGUAGAUAUCAGGAGGAACACCGGUGGCGAAGGCGGGAUCCUGGGCCAGUACUGACGCUGAGGAGCGAAAGCGUGGGGAGCAAACAGG
rnacentral:rRNA from 1 species